UACGUAGGGGGCUAGCGUUGUCCGGAAUCAUUGGGCGUAAAGAGCGUGUAGGCGGCCCGGUAAGUCCGCUGUAAAAGUCAAAGGCUCAACCUUUGAAUGUCAGUGGAUACUGUCGGGCUAGAGUCCGGAAGAGGCGUGUGGAACUCCUGGUGUAGCGGUGGAAUGCGCAGAUAUCAGGAAGAACACCAACGGCGAAGGCAGCUCGCUGGGACGGUACUGACGCUGAGACGCGAAAGCGUGGGGAGCGAACAGG
rnacentral:rRNA from 1 species